rnacentral:rRNA from 1 species
CAGCAGCCGCGGGAAUACGUAGGGUGCAAGCGUUAAUCGGAAUUACUGGGCGUAAAGCGUGCGCAGGCGGUGUUGUAAGACUGAUGUGAAAUCCCCGGGCUCAACCUGGGAACUGCAUUGGUGACUGCAACGCUGGAGUGCGGCAGAGGGGGAUGGAAUUCCGCGUGUAGCAGUGAAAUGCGUAGAUAUGCGGAGGAACACCGAUGGCGAAGGCAAUCCCCUGGGCCUGCACUGACGCUUAUGCACGAAAGCGUGGGGAGCAAACAGGAUUAGAUACCCCCGUAGUCCCUGUCUCUUAUAC